rnacentral:lncRNA from 1 species
AGCACCUACGAUAACUCGAGGAUUCUUUGGCAAAUCAGAGAGUGGAGUUUGAUAGAAAAUUAGAUAGAAUUUUUAUAAGUAUUACUUUUGGAUAAUUUAGAGUUGUUGUGACUUUGUAAGAUUUUUACAAAGUCAAGAUUGUUUUUAGAUAACUUGGAUUUUUUGAAAUAAAAUAGGAUUGACGUUUUUAGUGAUUUCAAGAGUUUUAAAAUAGAUCUAUGAGUGAAAUUUUAUAGGUUAAUGGUCAUAGUUGUGUUUAAUAUGUAUUGUAAAUUUUAGCUUGAUGUAAUGGUUGAAUUGAGGGUUAUUGAGGUUUAAAUGGAUCAAGGUCUCAAAAAGUAGAAUUUUAGGUCUAAUUAGGGUUUUUAUGAUUUCUUGCAAU